rnacentral:rRNA from 1 species
UACGAGGGGGGGCGAGCGUUGUUCGGAAUUAUUGGGCGUAAAGGGUGCGUAGGCGGUUCCGCAAGUCCUGUGUGAAAUCUUCGGGCUCAACUCGAAGUCUGCACGGGGAAACUGCGGGGGCUUGAGUGUGGGAGAGGUGAGUGGAAUUCCCGGUGUAGUGGUGAAAUGCGUAGAGAUCAGGAGGAACACCGGUGGCGAAGGCGGCCCACUGGGGCUGUCACUGAGUGAGGCGCGAAAA